CCCCAGCUCUCCAGGGCCACCCAGCUCAUACAUGGCCUCCCGGACUCCGAGGGAGAGCCCCUCCUCCCAGCAGUGAUGAGGGAGCCCCAUCGACCAGACGCCCUCUGCCCACGCCACCUCCAAGGGCAGGGCGGUGGAAAUCCCAUAAUCUCUGGGGCCUCUCCAAGGAGGAGGUGCCCCCGCCCGCCUCGGCCGCGGGAUUCAGUUUCCGGGCCUCUAAUCAAGGGAUCGCCGACAACCCUGGCAGCCGCACGUGCACGCACCGCCAGGCACCUCCACGACCACACCACCCACAUCGCUCACGCCAGCAGGACGGCAGCCGCCUGCCACGCUCCGCUGAGCCAGCCAGAAUGGAAAGGCCAGGAGCGAGGCAGGCGGGUUCCUCCAUUGUCAGCACUGUCCAUUAUCCCCCAGGGCCAGGAUCCCCAGAGCGGAGCCCACCGAGCGGGCCUGGGCAGCCCCACCCAGUGCCCUGCAGGAAGUAGGCCUGUAGGCUGUGCCCAGAAAGCCCACCAGGCACCUCCGGGUGGGCCGAGGGUCCCGGGUCGCGGGUCCCAACGGGGCUCAACAGGACAGAAUCCAGGAUCAGCUGGCUCCUCGGCAUCUGCCACCACUGCCCAGAGAUGGAGAGACCACGACACAGGCACCUAUGGGUGCAAAGGCAGGACGGGCCGGGCCCGGCGUCCUCAUGGAGCUUGUGUCCUUCAUCCACCCUCAGCCGCCUCGGCAACGCAUCCUGACGCAGAGCCCAGAGCCCAGAGCCCAGAGCCCUCAGGGCCAGCAGCACGCCGCGUCUCGUCCAGACUCUGUCCAGGCCCUGACGGUCCGGCACGUGGCAGGCACUGAGCACUGGUGGGACGAGCCUUCCCGCGUGGAAACCGUCUGUGCCUGCGUCCCCACUGGGGUGAGCAGCCCCCACAUCAGGGCUGCACAGGCCUUCUAAUCUGACCCCGCAGCCACGGCCCAUGCCCGGGCCCACAGCAGGCCCUGCAGAAACCCCGCCCGCUUCACUGGAACGGCUCUGCCUGGUCUGCCCAGCCUCACCUCCCUGCACCUGCAACAAGCAGCACGACGCAGCGGCUCUGGGGCCUGGCCACCUGUGGGACCUGAGCAGCGGCUGCCGCUCUCUGCGCCUCAGUUUCCUUGUCUGUAAAAUGCAGGGAAAGGGCAUGCGAUUGGCCGCCCCAUACUCACAAGCUGUGUGGCCUUGAGGAUCUGCUCAGCCUCUCUGAGCCCAGUCCUCACCUGUCAAUGGACUGCAGUGGGCUUGGCACAGGCUGGCACCCAGGCACUUGGCGGACUGUGGCUCACCAGCCCUCCACCUGAGCCGCCGACUCCACUCAGGCCUGGGAGCCACGGGGGCCUGGUGCUCUCUCUGGCCUGACCACGCAAUUCAGGACACCCCUCCACCAAAUGCCGGCACGGGGGCUAGCUGUGCUCGCGCAGGUGGCCCUGGGGAGAUGUCCCGAGCCUGGGGUCUCCGUGUCCCCCAGAGCCAGCCGCACUCAUCACAGAAAGACCCCAGCUGGCCAGAUGCUCCAACGACCCCACCCCAGGAGCGGGCUUUGCUGACCCCACAGCACGGCCGGCCCCUCCGUGGGUCAGGCCAGGGCCCAAGAUGGACACAGCCUAAAUAGGGCUGGGCCUGGCCCUGCCCUCAACACACCCCGUCCAGCCAGAUCUGAGGCAGGAACACCCUGUAGUUAUUUACCCGCCCGUCCACGGCCCACCCCACCCAACUCAAACACCCACACCGGUCACCCGGUCUCCUCUGUCACGGCCAUCCCAAGCCUCAACCUCCAGCAGAGAACCAGGGGAGGAGUGUGAGGAAACUGAGUCAUGCAGCAAGGCACAACUACUCCACCACCCCUCCCCACCGCUGGCCCCAGAGGAGGAAAAGGGGCCACCCUGCAGAACUACCUGGGGAGGGAGUGAGCUCCCCGUCACCAGGUGUGUGCAAGCCAAGCUGCCAAGCCCCCCUGGGGUUACACACACACAUUCGCCUUCUCAGAGGCCCAAGCCUGGGCCAGGAAGCCGGGUGGAGUCUGGAGGGCGGGACCUAUCUAACCCAGAGUUGCUAAAAAGAGCCAACAGGGAAGUAAAAAUAGGAAAUAAAAAUAAAGUUGCUGCAGCCAGCCUGGUGUUUUCGUAGGAAACAAGGCAUCUCCCCAGGGCGGGCUCAGCUCCGGGCCCCUCCCAGGUGAGGAAUGUCUCCCCCUCCUCCAACCUCCAGCUGCCAUCAGGACUUCAACCGUGUGUCCCCAGGCAGGAGCAGGAAGGGCCUCACGGAGGAAUCCCCAGGACCUGGUUCGAAUCCCAGCUCUGCCGCUAACCAGCCGCGUGACCUCGGGCACGGAGCUGAGCCCCUUUCACCAGCGAUGGUCCCCUCCAGGACCCUCCCCAACGGAGCCCCCACUCUGCCCCAAAGGUGGGUGGCCAGGACGCAGAACAGAGACUGGAGGGAGACGGAGCCUGGCUCACCGUGCGGCUCUCAGACCUCAAUUUCCUCAUCCAACAAUCAGAGGAAGCCUUCCUUCCUAUCCGUUCCUGUUGGACCUUCCCAGGGUUGGCACUAGGAUCAUUCGCACUAAAGUGUGCAUGACUGACCCUGG